rnacentral:lncRNA from 1 species
AAGAGAAUUACACUUCCGGUUGUGCUUUUCACAGUAAGGUAUUCACUACGGAGCAACACGUGCAUAACAGCAGUUUUCAGCAGUAUUACUGUAACGAAGCAACUCUGUAUUCAUAAACUGUUAUUACUUAAUUUAGCAUCGCAAAAAGUGUUCUAACGUCCACUCGCAACACUAAGCCUGUUUUAUUUUGAAUAGAAAUCGGUCGAUAUCCGGUAUCAGCCUGCCUUCCUCCGAGUGGCUUGACGCAGCUCUAACAGAGCAGUGACGUAGCGUCCCAUCGCAGCGCGGCUCGUGCUGAUGCUGCAGUUGCUAGGGCGCGUGGAGCAGACGGCGGAGAGGAGAAGUGAGGUAAACAAGCGAAAAAGAGGAAAUGUCGCCCUCUUGUGUCGAAGUUAGUCACUUAAUGUUUUCCUUCAAGACUUAAAGGUACUUAAAAAAGCAAAAAGUACCAAAGUUUUGUCUAUUUCGUACGUUUUAAUUGAUUUAAAACAGAGAAUUCAAGCGGCUCGUCAUUCAACUGUCGCCCUUCGCCUCGACGGCCAUUUUCUCUAAGCUCUCAAAGUUUAAAAACGGCUUUUCUUUCUAGGAAAAAAUGUAUUAAAUGCUGAAUAAGUUCCUUUUAAGUCUUUAUAAUGCCCUUCUGAAAGCUUUAUUGUAGUUUUACACGGUUAACAGUUAUUAAAAAUGCUUUUGUACAAACCCUCUGCUCCAGUUUCCCUAUAAAUGCUUAAUUAAUUUCAGCUUCUGUCUCAUUUAUGCCUGCCCAGCUCUCUGAAAGCCUCCUCCACUGUUACCACUCGACAAAGUCUCAUUUCUUUGCUUAAAAUGAGAAAUUAAAAAAUAAGGCCUUAUUACUUGGAACUCAAAUCUGACCCCCCAAAUAUAGAAAGAAAAAAAAAAGGAAACUGGAGCAGCCUACCUCUUUUCUUGGGAUUACAAUGUAAAAUAUGAGAGAGCAUUAAAGCACCUCUUCUAUAAGAACCUGAGCAACACAUAGAAGAGGCAUGUAGCUUCUGAAGGGAAUUUUUUUACAGGACUAGUCCUCCAUUUUGAAAAUAUAAAAUGCUAUUAUCUCCCAAAUUGCUCUCUCAAAAGAUAAAACUGUCUUUUUCUUCUUCUUCUUCUUUGCAGAUCCAACAAACAUGUGCUCAGAAGAGGCAGAGCCAGGACAAGUUCAACCAUAGAUUGUAUAUACUAUGGACAACUUGGUUCAGCCUCCCGUCUGUAUACAGAUUUGAAGCCAAAAAGCUCUCGGUAUUUCCAGGAUUUUUCUUCAUUUCCUGAAACCAGUGCUGCGCAGUAGCGUUGUGCGCAUUCAGCGGGAGAGUCGCCAAGAGUCGCUGUGAUGACGCUCGGCUCAAACAGCGGAUCUCCCGGGUGAGCUACGCAUUUCCUGAACGACUUGAGCACAAACCAGUCUUACAGUAACUACAUGUCAACAUCGCAACCAGGAGGGAGAAAAAUGUAUGUUCUGUGUAAUAAAUUUCUAAAGUUUGUCCACAGCCCCCAUAAGCUUUGCUGGCGGAGGCGGGAUUUAUGACCUAUACUGCAGCCCGUCAACAGAGGGUGCUGUUCUCGGAGUGGCUUCACCCAGCGAGGAGGCAGACUCUGUCCAUUCUAUAUACAGUCUAUGGGUGCUACCUUCACUAUUCAAACUCUCCUGGGCCAAAACUCU